UCAGCUUAGACAUCCCCCUUGAAAAGGUC
rnacentral:piRNA from 1 species